GUUGACCUCGGAUCAGGUAGGAAUACCCGCUGAACUUAAGCAUAUCAAUAGGGGGAAGAAUCCGCUUAUUGAUAUGCCUUGUUACGAC
rnacentral:rRNA from 1 species